GAUGAACGCUGGCGGCGUGCCUAAUACAUGCAAGUCGAGCGAACGGACGAGAAGCUUGCUUCUCUGAUGUUAGCGGCGGACGGGUGAGUAACACGUGGAUAACCUACCUAUAAGACUGGGAUAACUUCGGGAAACCGGAGCUAAUACCGGAUAAUAUUUUGAACCGCAUGGUUCAAAAGUGAAAGACGGUCUUGCUGUCACUUAUAGAUGGAUCCGCGCUGCAUUAGCUAGUUGGUAAGGUAACGGCUUACCAAGGCAACGAUGCAUAGCCGACCUGAGAGGGUGAUCGGCCACACUGGAACUGAGACACGGUCCAGACUCCUACGGGAGGCAGCAGUAGGGAAUCUUCCGCAAUGGGCGAAAGCCUGACGGAGCAACGCCGCGUGAGUGAUGAAGGUCUUCGGAUCGUAAAACUCUGUUAUUAGGGAAGAACAUAUGUGUAAGUAACUGUGCACAUCUUGACGGUACCUAAUCAGAAAGCCACGGCUAACUACGUGCCAGCAGCCGCGGUAAUACGUAGGUGGCAAGCGUUAUCCGGAAUUAUUGGGCGUAAAGCGCGCGUAGGCGGUUUUUUAAGUCUGAUGUGAAAGCCCACGGCUCAACCGUGGAGGGUCAUUGGAAACUGGAAAACUUGAGUGCAGAAGAGGAAAGUGGAAUUCCAUGUGUAGCGGUGAAAUGCGCAGAGAUAUGGAGGAACACCAGUGGCGAAGGCGACUUUCUGGUCUGUAACUGACGCUGAUGUGCGAAAGCGUGGGGAUCAAACAGGAUUAGAUACCCUGGUAGUCCACGCCGUAAACGAUGAGUGCUAAGUGUUAGGGGGUUUCCGCCCCUUAGUGCUGCAGCUAACGCAUUAAGCACUCCGCCUGGGGAGUACGACCGCAAGGUUGAAACUCAAAGGAAUUGACGGGGACCCGCACAAGCGGUGGAGCAUGUGGUUUAAUUCGAAGCAACGCGAAGAACCUUACCAAAUCUUGACAUCCUUUGACAACUCUAGAGAUAGAGCCUUCCCCUUCGGGGGACAAAGUGACAGGUGGUGCAUGGUUGUCGUCAGCUCGUGUCGUGAGAUGUUGGGUUAAGUCCCGCAACGAGCGCAACCCUUAAGCUUAGUUGCCAUCAUUAAGUUGGGCACUCUAAGUUGACUGCCGGUGACAAACCGGAGGAAGGUGGGGAUGACGUCAAAUCAUCAUGCCCCUUAUGAUUUGGGCUACACACGUGCUACAAUGGACAAUACAAAGGGCAGCGAAACCGCGAGGUCAAGCAAAUCCCAUAAAGUUGUUCUCAGUUCGGAUUGUAGUCUGCAGCUCGACUACAUGAAGUUGGAAUCGCUAGUAAUCGUAGAUCAGCAUGCUACGGUGAAUACGUUCCCGGGUCU
rnacentral:rRNA from 1 species